ensembl:lncRNA uncharacterized LOC107572825
UGUCCGAUCUCAUGACUGUUAUACAAGACUCUGCAGAUUUCACUCGGUUAGGAGCAACGAAGAGCAAGCAGAUGGCAAGCAAUAUUGUACCCGCAGGCAGCAAGAGGCCCAGAGACCCCUCUACUCAGGUGGAUUCGGAGGAUGAGGCACAGAAAAGCUGUCGUCAUCUACUCGAUGCUCUAAUCGAAGGCUUUACAGAAGAGGAUAGGAAAUUUAUGAGGGAUGGGAAUGGCAGAGAGGUGCUGGAAGACGUAGCCGUGAUUUUUGGCAUGAACACAAAACACACCCCAGAGCUAGUUCAAGUUCUGAACGAUCUCGAGAGAUUCAGGUACGAUUGUAAAAUCAGGUAUUCUAUAAUCACGUACACUUGGGGAAGCGGUGGAACAAUAGCAAGUGAAGUGCCUGAUGAAACCAUACCAUACCAGGAUAUUCGAGAGUAUCUGAAAAGCCACGCUGCUACAACAAAUCUUGUGCGGGAGUUGAGGGGAAACGAUAGAAGUUGUCUGGUUUACUUCAGUUUCGUUGAUAGCGACACUUUCAGCUUCAACUCCAUCUACAGUGAAUACUUGCAAAUUGUGAGAAAGGAGCUGAAAAACGAUCCGCCCAUCCCACCCACCGUCAUGUCGACCGGUUACGAGUUCACCCACGAGCGUGAGCAUCACAUUGCAAGUGACCUGGACCUCCAGAUUCGUACAGCCUUAGCAGAGGUCAAUGCUCUCUUCGUGUAUUACCCAGAACCCAACUUCUGCGUUCUAGUGAAGGAGGAAAAGGACACCAUAGAGGAGAGUUUUAUAAUCAAGAAAAACAGGGGCAAAAAGGAUUACAAAAUGGAGUCGUGCACUCUGAUCAGGCAGGUCAAGGAACGUGUCAAUUUUAAAGCUAUGUUUGGCAAAGGAAAGCCCAUCAUCAUCGUUGCACCAGAAAGAUUUAAGCUAAGUAAAGAUGGUCUAAUCCUAAAAGGCCUGAUUAUCAACCAGUCAACUCUGAAUAAGAGGAAUUUGGCAUCUGGUGCAUACUGCAAUGGAUUGCUCAAAUGUAGGGAAACAUAUAAUGGGGUGGAUUUACCAAAUGACCCCAAAACGCAGUUAGGAGUAUAUUAUAAAAACUUAAAUUUCAUCAAGGACUUAUAUAAAUGUAGUGAUGAAAGGAGCUUUGAAGAGCUGAGUAAAAAAAAUCCAUUCAGCAUGGAUGGAGGAGACGCAACGGAGCUAGUCGAAGCUAUUAGACAAGCAAGAGAAUGCAGAAAGGUUUUUGAAGAACUCGAUAGAAACUUCUCAAAUCUUUAGAUUGAAAUCUGCUUCUUAUCUGUUAUUAGAUGGUGCACUCAUCUGAAUCGGGAACAGCCACAAUAAUUAAAAGAGAUGCUUUUGUUGGUUUGAUUGUUUCUAUUGUCCUCAUUUGUAAGCCGCUGUGAAAAGCAUCUGCUAAAUGGCAUGCACAUAGUAUGCAAAUUGAGUUUUGAUGCUGUGUAACAUUUUUAUGAAUUCUGCAUAGCCUAUGUUAUUCCUGUAUACAUCAAAUGUUAAUAAAGUGGCAUCUAAUGAUGUUUUUUUUAUGUGCUAGAUAAUUAAGAUAUGAAUUAUUCACUCUUUUACAUUUAUUUCCCGU